UCGAACGCCCCGCAAGGGGAGUGGCAGACGGGUGAGUAACGCGUGGGAACGUGCCCUUCGCUUCGGAAUAGUCCCGGGAAACUGGGUUUAAUACCGAAUACGCCGUAUUGGGAAAGAUUUAUCGGCGAAGGAUCGGCCCGCGUUAGAUUAGGUAGUUGGCGGUGUAAUGGACCACCAAGCCUACGAUCUAUAGCUGGUCUGAGAGGAUGAUCAGCCACACUGGGACUGAGACACGGCCCAGACUCCUACGGGAGGCAGCAGUGGGGAAUCUUGGACAAUGGGCGCAAGCCUGAUCCAGCCAUGCCGCGUGAGUGAAGAAGGCCUUAGGGUUGUAAAACUCUUUCGCCGGAGAAGAUAAUGACGGUAUCCGGAGAAGAAGCCCCGGCUAACUUCGUGCCAGCAGCCGCGGUAAUACGAAGGGGGCUAGCGUUG
rnacentral:rRNA from 1 species